rnacentral:rRNA from 1 species
AAAAGCCUCUAAGCAUCAGGUAACAUCAAAUCGUACCCCAAACCGACACAGGUGGUCAGGUAGAGAAUACCAAGGCGCUUGAGAGAACUCGGGUGAAGGAACUAGGCAAAAUGGUGCCGUAACUUCGGGAGAAGGCACGCUGAUAUGUAGGUGAAGCGACUUGCUCGUGGAGCUGAAAUCAGUCGAAGAUACCAGCUGGCUGCAACUGUUUAUUAAAAACACAGCACUGUGCAAACACGAAAGUGGACGUAUACGGUGUGACGCCUGCCCGGUGCCGGAAGGUUAAUUGAUGGGGUUAGCGGUAACGCGAAGCUCUUGAUCGA